GACGAACGCUGGCGGCGUGCUUAACACAUGCAAGUCGAACGAUGAAGCCGGAGCUUGCUCUGGUGAAUUAGUGGCGAACGGGUGAGUAACACGUGAGUAACCUGCCCUUGACUCUGGGAUAACUGCGGGAAACUGUAGCUAAUACCGGAUACGACCUUCGGAGGCAUCUCCUGGGGGUGGAAAGAAUUUCGGUCAAGGAUGGACUCGCGGCCUAUCAGCUAGUUGGUGAGGUAAAGGCUCACCAAGGCGACGACGGGUAGCCGGCCUGAGAGGGUGACCGGCCACACUGGGAAUGGGACACAGCCCGAACUCAUAUGGGAGGCGGCAGUGGGGAAUAUUGCAGAAUGGGCGCAAGCCUGAUGCAGCAACGCCGCGUGAGGGAUGACGGCCUUCGGGUUGUAAACCUCUUUUAGUAGGGAAGAAGCGAAAGUGACGGUACCUGCAGAAAAAGCACCGGCUAACUACGUGCCAGCCGCCGCAGUAA
rnacentral:rRNA from 1 species